UGGCUGUUCCCCCCCGGGGCGCCCCCUGACGGGCGGCGCGGUUCGGCCCGGCCCGCGCUGGUCCCGGCAGCGCCGGGCGGGACUGGCGGGGCCGCACCGGGCUCGGCUCCUCCUCGGCUGCUGCUGAGCCCCGCUCGGUCUGGCCGUUCCCGCCUCUGUCCUCUUGAAUUUCCGUCGCCCCCCGUUUUGUUUUUUUAAAUUCAAUUUUUUAAUGUGCGGUGUGCGGAAUUUCGUCUCCAUGUGGUUCUGCCCCGCUAAACGGGACGGGUCUAACCCGGCUCGCACGCUCCCUUACAUGCUCAAUCCACACAGGAAGAAGCAGAAGUUUUAACCAUCUUCCCAUGGCAUCUGACUUUUUUGAAGAGGAGGACUUUUCAACCACUUGAUGGAAGAGAAAUAAGAAAUUUGUUUCAAGACUCUUAUGUUGUUCAUCAGUGCUGUUAACAAACGUGAGGCUUGAGGAUACAUUUGCUGCUUCUCUGCAUUUUUGCUGAAGGUGCCUGCAUUUGAAGGAAGGACCUUGCUGUUCCCAGCUCCUCUGGGCAUUAGGUUUCAUGAAUGUCUCUUGGGAAGAGGACAGCUCUGUAGAGCAUGAGUUUCAAAAGUAAUUUUAAAGGUUGCACCCAAGAGAGAAGCAGUGAGAUGCACAGUGGGGAAAAUGGACCCAGCAGUCCAUGCUAUCGUGUACCUGCCUGAAUAUGGGAAAAGACCUAGUACAAAGCCAGAAUGCAGCUGGGCUUGCAGUAUUUUUAACCAUAUUAAGUCCUGUUCAGAGUUAAUGAUGAGCUCAGUGAGAUGGUCUCGGCAAUGCUGAAGAAGGGAAGGACAGAAUUGGAAGGCAGGAGCUAUUUCAAAGCAGCAUUCUUCAUCUUUCUGUAAUGCCCAAACAGGAAGACUUCAUUCCUUGAACUUCAUUCGGUAGAGUAUUGCCAAUAGUGUCAUGUCAGUUGCAUGAUGUAAUAUGGCAUUGCUAUAUUGUUUAGUGAUCAUGUGGAGCUGCAUUAAAUAAAUGAACAUAUGCUUGUGGCUUAAAUGAACAUUAUGGGUGAGAGCAGUAAAUGGAGAAGGUGGGUACUACAGGAAAUGCUAGUAGCUUUCUUAAAGCCACUGUCUUUCUUUUUUCAGCUCUUUCCAUAACCAGUAGUGCUUUUCUUAAUAAAGAUGGAAAAAAACCCCACCAUCUUUUCAUUCAAGAAAUUGAAUCUCGUUCAACUUUUUAACCAGAAAGAUUUCACAGUCCUACUAGCUGUUAGAGCAUCUUAAUGCUUUGUCCAACAGGAAAUUGCACUCACAGUGCUGACCUAUUAACAUCUGUAGUGCAGCAGCAUGUGCUGCUCUUGCUCCUCAGGGCUUGUGAAAUGUCUGCUGUGGCACAGCCCUCUGUGACCUCUUGCAUUGAAGGAUGGAAUUUUUGCGUCCUUUUCUGUCUGGAGCUUGUGGGAGCUCCCUCCUGAGCCAAAUAGUUCUGAAAUACUGCAAAAAAAGAUCUGACAGUGUUUGUCUGGGAGAUGUGACUGACUUAAUUAUUAUUAACAUUUAUUAAGUGCCUUACAAUGGAGUAGAAGAGCCAUUGCCUUCCUUUUUACAAGUAGGAGAACUGGCAUGUAAGAAAGAAUGAAUCUCUUCUAUCUUCUGCAAUUCUUGACCCACCUAAUUAGGUGAUUGUCACAAGAAAUGAGAAGCUGGCCCAGGGGAAUGGCACUGGGGGAAGCUGCUGAUGCGUUCUGUGCGCGCUGCGCUUCCCCCUCUCACAAUGGUGAGCGGGGCUUCCCUCUGUCACUGUCCCUGGGCCAGGGACAAGAUGCAAGGGGGCUGAGGAGCCUGGGGCUGUCUGUUGGAUAGCUUCAUUAUAGAUCUCAUCCAGGGAAAAACUGGGGAGCUGCAACUCAUUUCUAGGAGCUACUUUGGUUUUUAGCAAUUGCUCACCCACUGCCUCCUCAUGCUUCCUUUUGCUGUGGAGUGGCCUUUCCCCACAAUAAGCUGAUUUUCUUCAUGGCAGAUAUUUACUCUUAGUUAGCCUCUAAGGCACUAACUGCUUCUUCUGGUCUAAGACUUCAGUUUCUUUCUUUUUUUUUCAAUAAUUUAUUUUGCUGAGAAAGGGAAUCUGUCCAGCUGCUACAAACAAUAGUGGUUUUGAUGUAUAUCAAUAAAGAGUUAGAGAUGUAUGUUUUCCAAGUAGAAGAUAAAGAGAUUUAAAGCCUGCUUUAAAGGAAGGCAAACCUUGGAGAGGUUUACUUAGAUGUACAAUAUGCCCUAUUCUUUGAUUUUUAAAAACAGUAUUAAGGGAUUUUUUUCAAGAAAAGAGAAAAUAAUUUCAUCUUUUUGGUUGCAUUUUUUUCUUAGUCUCACAGUUGUAAGAUAAAUAUUCAGAAUUAGGAGUUGCUAAGGUUAAUGUGAUUAAAAUGAGUAUGUGAUAACAGGCUCUGCACAUUAAAGAUUAAGAGCUCAAAUUAUAGACUCCAGAGGGAAACACUCCAUGAGCAUUUGUAAAUUUUGUUUGUGCAAAAAAUGCAGGCUUAGGCCUGUGGUUGCAGUUGCACAACAGUUUUAUCCUGUUUUAUCUGCAGAGAAUUCUUUUAAACACUGUAGCAUUGGGGUGAGAAUGUAGCGAGGUGAGGGGACAAAGGAGGAAAUAAUUUUGGUCUAAGCAUUAGUGUUACUCUAUAAAAAUAGAUAGUUUUACACAAUUUAUUCACAUUUACAAAGCUCAGUUUAUAGCAUUCUGAGUGCAGUAGUUAAUUCUUUAUGUAUAAGUUGAUCCUUUAUACAGAUGUAAUUCUAUAUGCAACAUUUAAUCUUUGAAUGUAAGUUGAAAAUAUAUUAGCAAUUAAUUUAUGUAGGUUAUGACUUUCUUUCGUGUAUACUUUGUGGUGGUUCCUACCCUAAAGUUGAGUCAGUGUGUGCUUAAUGAAAAUUAGAUGUGAAAUGUAAUAUGUAGAGGACAAAGAAGCAUUGAAAUCCUUAUUGCUCUUAAAAAGACAAAGGUACCUCAGAUAAUUUUCCUUUCUUAAUCUCUUGAGAAUUUGAUGAUAAUUCUGUUAUGAGCAAUUUGGAGCGAAUAAAAUAUUUUUAGAAGUAGUAUUAGUACCAGAUAUUAUUUCUCACCUUUUAUGAAGCAUAGUUUGGUUUUAAAAUUUAAAAUGCUUUGCAUUUUGAGAGGCUCAUUUAUAGGCAGUCUUCCACUUAAAAGGAAAAGCACCUUGGACGUUUGUGGAGGGGCAAGCCUUGUUGUUAUAUCUGUGAAAUUUGCUAAUGUUGCAACCAUUGAAAUAAAGUGUUUGUUUACAUAACAGCAGUGGCAUUUCUCCUCCUCUUCCUUGUGGUUUUGUCCAACUAGAUGUUAUGAGUGGCAGUUGCAGUGACUGCUAAGUGUUUAAAUGAUGACACCAUUAUGUGAGGUGAUUUUGAAAUGAGAGAUUCCAGCCAAGAAUUACAUCUGCUCUCAUCUCCUUCAAAUCAUACUCUCUGGCUGUGCAGAUUAUGAUUGAUUUGUUUGUGACAGAUUGCAGGAAACAGUCAUUGAUUUUUCAAUAUUUUACCUUAAAAUUAUUUACAGUUGUAACCAAGGGGAGGUAUUUCCAUGGGCUGUCAGGCCCUGAAAGACUGGGAUAAUAUUCCCUGCUCCCUGACAAGACAAAUUACCCGUAAUGAGUGCAGUAGCUGAAGGGUAUACUUUUAUUUUAAAAUAUGUCAAUAACCCAGUGACUAAACGAAUAUUGAUUCAGCAUAAUGAAGCCUGAGUAAUGUGAAAAUGAGCUCUUCAAGGAGCAUGGUAAAGACUUUCUUUUUAGCUUGUAGCAAGAAGCUUUUCAUUUUUUACUGUUAGGUAGUUGAAAUGUGCAGUCUUAAACAAGUCAUCCUUAAACAUUGGUAAUAUGUGGAGUAAUGUAACAAAAGAACUUCGGGGUUUUUUUCUGUUUAUUUUUUCUCUUUUUUUCUCCAAGUUGUUUUUUCUUCAAUAUGUUUCAGUAGAUCAAACACAUGAAGAGGAAAAUGCAAGUUAUCCAGGGCAGAGAUAGAAAUACUAUAGGUGUAAAUAUAUUUUGCAGUAAUAUUCUUCAGUUAGCCUAAUGGCAUUUUUAAUGUGGAAUCACAAUAUGGGCAUGGGAAUAUAUCUAAAUAAACUGUAGAUUUAAUUUCAUAUUAUUGACUUCUUGACAUACUGAUGUGUGUUCUGUGUGAUCAGUCUAAUAUUCUUGUCCUUCAACAGUUUAGAAUGGUUUAUGAGCACCUAGAUAUACUGUGGUAUAAAACUCAGUUACCAUAAUGCACAUUUUUCUUACCAUAACAUAUAACACUGCAUGUUUCUUACCACAUGAGAAUUCUCAAGCAGUAAUUCAUUUAAAUUGCAGUAAUUUAUGCAGUGCCAUAGGUGUGGUGUGGAAAAGCAUCUAAUAGAUUAAUACGAAUGUUCUCAAUUGUUCAGGGUGAGGAUUAAAGAACAUAUUGAGGUACAGUUUUUUUAAACAUUAGAAGUAUUGAACACUAAAAAAACCCCCGCCCUAUCAUGUGAAAGGAUCAAUUGGUCAUUUGUAUUCAAGAGCAUCGUGCAACAUGGGGAAGGCUCUGCAGAAGCACUGGGUAUAAAUAGCCGUGUAAUCCAGACAUAGACAAAAGAUAUUUUCUUGGGCUGUUUGUGUGUAAUGUGUCAAUUAUGAAAUAAUGUCAUAGCCAGAAGCAUUUAGUCAGCAUGUUUGGGCAUGAAGACGACUUUUCUUAUUUUCUAAGGACUAACUUCAAUUGCAUCCAAGUAGCUUGUGAAAAUCUUCAGAAGGAUGUUUUCCUAUCAGCACACAGGUGAUUUUUUUUUUUUCAAAUGUCAUUCCUUUAGCACAGCUAGAAACUAUUUCAGGAGGCACUUGAGAACCUGUGGCAUUGAGAGUUAAAUGGCAACCCUGGAAUGUGAGAUAUGUUCCUGUUUUUAAUUUGCUAGUUUUCAAAAAAAAGCGUGAUGUACGCUUGAGUGGAUUACAACUAAAUAAUUGUAGUUUUGAGAGGAUUUGUGCAUAUUUUCAAAAUGUUGGAUAUAAUAAUAAUUAUUAAUAAACUGAAAUAUAUAGCUGUGACAACAGGAGAAUUUUGGGCUCUUGUAAAUGUUACAAGAGAUCUACAAAUGUUACAGUGUUGAACCUUAACUUCCUGCUCAGUGACAUUUUACACACCUCAGGUUCUCUGCCUGUUCUUUGUUUCUGUACCUUUUUGUUUCUUUGGCCAACAGCAGGAGAUGGAAGGGGAGGAUUUGUUCAGUAUCUUUCUCACAGUAGCGAGGAAGAGGGAGACUGUUCAGGGCUGGGUGCCAGCUCUGCUGUAGACUGAAGGGCAAAUAAAUGUUUGUUUUAACAACAUCUCCUUUUCCUGGAUAACACUGCAUGAGCUCAUGGUACCAAACUGAGUAACAGCAGAUCUCUGCUUGCAGGCCAUUGGCAUUUUUCACUUGCAAGACAGGCAACAACUCUGGCUUUGCUGCCUUUCCCAAAGAUGAGUUUAUUUAUUGAAUAUCUGACAUUCCAGCUCAGGCCUGAACCGUGUGCUUGACAAUAAAGGCAAAUGGUGCAUUUUUGGCUUUUUAUUUUAAUUUGUGGGUGAUACUGGAGUUGUCUGAUGAUGGCGCCUUGGAAGCUCUGCAGUUUAUUCAUAAAUUUUUCUGUCUUAGAAUUGUGACAAGUGUUAGUCCACUUUCAAGUGAACUAUGGAGGAGAAAAUAAAAAUCUCAGACAAAAAAAAAUGCUAAAUAAUUAAUUGGUUAAAAGUUCUUGUGGCAUUUGGGAUCCCCCAGGAGCAGAACAUAAGGCCAAUUGUUGUUCAGUUAGGUAAAAGUAAAAGUAGAAAACACUGUGAAAUUAAGAUCAUGGGUAGAGAACAGAAUAAUAUCAUUUGUGGCAGAGAUGAGGCUAUUGGUCAGUCAUGACGGGCUAGUAUUUAGGGGCUGUAUGUCUCUCAGCACUCAGCAACUUGCAAAUUAUGACCCAUUUCAGUGAAUUUCACAGUGAACACAAUGCAUCAGUAUGUUGUUGUAGUGGGUGGUUUUGUGUAACAAUUCAGAUCUUGAUUCCAUUAUGGAUAAAGUAGCAACCAAAACCAAUGGUGGAUUUUAAUUUUUUUUUCCUAUUUACUCAGCCUCUGUGUUAUCUAUCUGCUCUACAGACCAGCCAACUAAAACAAGUUUAGUUUAAAGUGAGAGAGGAGAGCAUGUCGAUGUAGGUGAUGGAAAUUGUGCUUACUGGCUAAGCCUUCUCAUGCUGCCUCCUUCCCAUUGCCAAAUUACUGAUUUGAAAUCUAAGAACUAAGGUGUGAUGGAAUCCAAAUCAGAGUAGACAGCACUAUGUAGAAUUUGCUCAUCUAAAUGUCAUGAUUACUUGAAACCAAUUCUUUGUGCUCUAAACUGCAUUUUGAAGGUGUUGCUUCUUUUUGUUUAAAUUUGUGGACAAAUUACUGCUUUCCCAAAAGCAAUUCUGUAUAUGCAAAUAUUUUAUUCUUUUGGAAUGACCAUUUAUGUACUAAAAGCUGUCAGUAGUGCAGAUAGUAUCAUGGUCUUUGGUGUGUUGGCAUAUGGUUUAUGGUGAACUGUAAGACUGAGAUAACCCUAUAAAAAUAUCUGAGGGAUCCAAGAUGCUGUGAGAGUCUUGCUUAACUGCAAUGGUUAAAAAGGCAUGGCUGACUUAAUGCAUGAGUGUUGAAAUCUGUGUCUGGAAUUAUGGAAACAAGUUGAGAAACAUGAACAGAAUUGAUUGUCGAUUAUUUUCCUUUGUAAGAGCUGGGAAAAGAUAUAUUGUGCUUUUCUGUGGUCUUUAAAAGUCUGCAGUGUCCUUUUUUUUUUCUUUUUUUGUUUUCUUUUGUUGACUUAUCUUUUAAUAUGAAGUGUCAUUCCCAAAAUGAAGUAGUGUCCUUGGGCUGGUGGCAACAGCUGGAGUUGCAGAAUUCAUAAAUAAUUCAGAGAGGGAUAAAGGGUAGGGGAAUUUUUUUGUCAUUUGAAUCUUUAGUAUGUGCACACAUUUCAUUUUAGAUAUGGCAUCAUUUGAAUUCAUUCAGUAUGAUGAUUGCACUGACCUGUCAUAUUUAUUUUGAUGUCCCUUCGAAGGACCAUAUGCUCUGUCCUCAGCAUGAAAAUGAUGCAAGUUGCAAACAGAGAGGCAGCUCUGUUCCUGUAGGGAUGGAGCCCUCACUUCCCAUUGUCACGUCAGUGGAUGUACAGCUGCACUGCAGUAGAGAAGGUGGAGUUGUUAUGUCAGUGUGGUGACUAAGUGGCGGUGUAGCCUAGCAAAAGGUGGAGAAAAGGGCAAAACCCAUUUGCAUCAAGGUACUGUAUGGCAUUGAAAACUCAGCUGUCACUGAGGGCCAGUUGGUGUGAGGAGCCUGGCAUGUGGAAGGUGGAAAGGAUUAAAGCCAGCUAGAAAUCUGCCAAGGUGGAGGUGUGCCAUGGUAGCUUUAAUGUGGGAAUACAAUUAAUUACUCUGUGUGUUGGAAGUGGGGUUGCCAUGCACACAACCUCCUGGGGUUGCACGGGACUUAGUCUGGAUAUGCAAGGCUCAGAGCUUUUUUCUUUACCCAAUCCAUGUCUUCCUUUCCUCUUGAAGCUGCUUACUUAGUCAGAAAAAAUCUUAGGUAAUGUUUUUUGGGGGGGAACAGGGGAAGGAAAUAUACAGUUGUAGUUUACCUGUUCACUAAUUCUGCUGUAACCAUUGCAUCUGGUCCUUCAUUUAUUUCAUUGGUAUGUUCCUGUGGAUGAGUGGUGCAUUUUCCAGAAGUUACAGGCUCAAGUUCAACCAUGUCCCAUUAGUAAUGAACUGCAUGAUAAUGAGUAAUGUCUGGUCCCUAUUGGCUAAAGCACUGGCUGGUAUUAGCAAUUCACAGUUGGUGGAUAACAGGGCUCUGUUACCAGGACUUUGUUACUGUUACCUUUGUAUGUAAUAUUAACGCCACAGGAUUGCAGCCACCUCUGUGUUUUCAUGGUGUAAGGUGUAGCAGGGAGCAGUGAUUCUUCCUAUGAAGUACAUGGUCCACUGUGCCCGUGCCAGAGGCAGAAGGAAGCCAAUGAAGUGCAGGUUAGUGAAAUACAAUAACUGGAGCCUGGGAAUGAGAAUAACUGUAUGAAAAAUUGUUUCU